GUGUUUUAAUUUUCAGUUCAGCAUGCUCAGUCCUUUCUCUUGGCUGUUUAGUGUUCAUUAUGUGGUUUGAGUUCUUAUACACCCCCUUCCCCUGAAUCCCUUUAAUUUAGUCUUAUAUACUUAUGUGACUCCUUUUUCCCUGAUCCCUGUUUGAAUGAGAGUGUGUUCUGGAUUAGGGUGGCAUCUCAUUAUUGUUCAUUAUAUGGUUAGAGUUCUUAUGCACCCAUUUCCCCUGAAUCCCUUUAAUUUAGUCUUAUAUACUUAUGUGACUCCUAUUUCCCUGAUCCUUGUUUGAAUGAGUGUGUGUUCUAGAUUAGGGUGGCAUCUCAUUGUCACUCCUAGUUUAGAACUAAGGUUGUCAACAACCUAUACUCAAAGUAAUCACAUCCCCUACCCCCUUAUUAUGUGUUUGAGCCUUGACAAAGGCCUGUUGGUGUCUUAAUCACCAUACAAGCCCUAGUCUAACUUUUUUACUAGUCUGCUCCUGUUUGUUAACCUUUGUAAGUGGCUAGGGGUGUGCCAGCCUCACUCCAUAGGCUAGGUAUGACCACCUCCUACAAUGGUCUUCCUCUNNNNNNNNNNNNNNNNNNNNNNNNNNNNNNNNNNNNNNNNNNNNNNNNNNNNNNNNNNNNNNNNNNNNNNNNNNNNNNNNNNNNNNNNNNNNNNNNNNNNNNNNNNNNNNNNNNNNNNNNNNNCCAUGCUUAGGGGACCCCAGAGUCUCCUCUGAACUUGGAUGCUUUGGGGCUAGUAAUUCCACACUUGCACUACUCUAAAGAGAAAGCCUCGGAUUUUGGGAGCCUGGAUUUGGUAAAGGGCAUAUGUUGGACAUUAAAGUGUCUAUGUGCUUCUUCGGGCAUGUUGUAGUAUUGAUGUAUUAUUUAUUUCCUUAAUGUUAUUUUUUUGGUCCAGAUUCUUGUAAAUAACUUGUAAUAAAAAAACUUGGGGAUCUAGUGAAAGAGCUUAUGGGAGGGGUUUACCUUUCUUGCUUUAUCUCAUACAGUUACCAUGGCUAUAGGGUUUUACUUUUUUGCAUCAUAUCAUGUAGAUACCAUGCUUAUAGGGUUUUACUUAUUGCAUCAAUAUCAUAUAGUUACCAUGUCUAUAAGGGUUUACUUUCUUGCAUCUCAUAUAGAUGUCAUAUCUACAGGCUUUUUGUUAUUGCAUCAACUUCAUAAUAGAAAUCAUGUCUAUUGGUCUGCAUUCUUACAACCUCAUAUAGAAACCAUGCUUAUAUGUUUGCAUUCUCAUAAUCUCACCUAGAAAAUAUGCCUAUAGGAACCAUAUAAACGCUAGGCAAAACAGUAGGUCGUCCAAACUUGUAAAAAAGCAGUAACGAACAAAGAUCAAUGUGUAUGUCCAAUGCUUAAAAACGUUUCAGUUUUUUUACUUUUAAAUCGGGCCCAGGUCUGCCCCUUUCACAUUACUACCCUCUUUCAUGACAUGAUACAUAACUAGAUUGAGGUAUAUGUAGACGACGUCAUCAUUAAGUCCAGGAAGGCUGCAGAUCACAUAGAGGACCUUCGAAAGUUUUUCAACAGACUAAGGAGGUAUAACUUGAAAGUGAAUCCCGCCAAGUGUGCAUUUGGGGUCCCUGCGGCAAAGUUAUUGGGUUUCAUCGUAAGUCGCCGAGGAAUACAAAUUGAUCCAUCAAAGGUCAAAUCCAUUCAGGAGUUGCCACCGCCGAAGAGAAAGAAAGAGGUAAUGAGUUUCCUGGGGACGCUCAACUAUAUCAACCGGUUCAUAACUCAGUCUACCAUCAUCUGCGAACCUAUCAUCAAGAUGCUGAAGAACGAUGCCGCCACCAAAUGGACCAAUGAAUGUUAAAAGGAUUUCGACAAGAUCAAGGAAUACUUGUCUACGCCUCCAGUCCUAGUUCCGCCUGAGCCUGGGAGGCCCUUAUUGCUCCAUCUCACAUAUUUGGACGGAGCAUUUGGUUGUGUCUUAGGACAACAUGAUGAGACGGGGAUAAAGGAGCAAAUUAUUUACUACCUCAGCAAGAAAUUUACCUUGUACGAGGCUCGGUAUUCCUUGCUAGAACGCACCUAUUGUGCUUUGACUUGGAUAGCUCAGAAGUUGAGGCAUUAUUUCUGUGCUUACACUACCUAUCGUAUAUCAAGAAUGAAACCGCUAAAGUAUAUUUUUCAGAAGCCCAUGCCCACUCGCAAGCUCGCCAAGUGGAAAAUUUUGUUGAGUGAAUGUGAAAUUGUCCAUGUCACCCAGAAGGAAGUUAAAGGACAGGCUUUGGCAGAUCAUCUUGCAUAAAAUCCUGUGGAAGGGGAGUACAAACCAUUGAAAACAUAUUUUCCCGACGAGGAAGUAGCUUUCAUAGGAGAAGACAUUGCAGAAUCCUAUGAUGGUUGGAUGAUUCUUUUCGACAGGGCUUCGAAUUCCAAAGGAGUUGGUAUAGGAGCAGUCCUGGUAUCAAAAACCGGUCAGCACUACCUGGUAUCUUCCCAGCUCAGAUUCUCGUGCGCCAAUAAUAUGGCCGGGUAUGAAGCUUGCAUCUUGGGGCUUAAACUGGCCAUUGACAUGAACAUUCAGGAGUUGCUAGCGAUUGGGGAUUCAGACCUACUGAUACACCAGGUUCAAGAAGAAUGGGCAACUAAGAAUUCCAAGAUACUCCCUUAUCUGCACCACGUACAGGAGUUAAGAAAAAGGCUUAGAAAAAUGGAAUUCCAGCAUGUUCCACGAAUACAGAAUGAGUUCGCAGAUGCGCUUGCAGCUUUGUCAUCCAUGAUUCAGCAUCCAGAUACAAACUUCAUCGACCCCAUCCAGGUCAAGAUUCAUGAUCAACCGACAUAUUGCGCACAUGUUGAGGAAGAAGCCGACGGAAAACCCUGGUUCCACGACAUCAAGGAGUACCUGACANNNNNNNNNNNNNNNNNNNNNNNNNNNNNNNNNNNNNNNNNNNNNNNNNNNNNNNNNNNNNNNNNNNNNNNNNNNNNNNNNNNNNNNNNNNNNNNNNUGAAUAUCUAGAGCUUGCUAAUGCUACUCAGAAGCGCACGCUUCGAAGGUUGUCCAACAAUUUCAUUUACAACUGAGGAAUCCUGUAUAGGAGGACUCCCGAUUUGGGACUAUUAAGGUGUGCCGAUGCGACAGAAGCAACCAAGUUAUUAUAGGAAGUGCACUCAAGGACUUGUGGGCCUCACAUGAACGGUUUUGUUCUAACAAAGAAGAUACUCAUAUCGGGAUAUUUCUGGAUGACCAUGGAAACAGAUUGCAUUCAGUAUGUCCGAAAGUGUCACCACUGUCAAAUACAUACGGAUAUGAUAAAGGUACCUCUGAAUAAGCUCAGUGCAACGAGCUCACCAUGACCGUUCGCCGCUUGGGGAAUGGAUGCUAUUGGACCAAUCGAGCCUGCCGCAUCAAACGGACACAGGUUCAUUCUAGUGGCAAUUGAUUACUUUACUAAAUAGGUUGAAGCAGCAUCAUACAAAGCAUUAACCAAUAAAGUCGUAACAGACUUUGACCGAGAUCGUAUUGUCUGUCGGUUCGGGGUUCCAGAGUCGAUCAUCACUGAUAAUGGUUUCAGUAUCAACAGUGACUUGAUGAAAGCGAUGUGUGAAACUUUCAAGAUCAGGCACAGAAAUCUAUAGCUUAUAGACCUCAGAUGAAUAGGGCCGUGGAACAGCCAACAAAAACAUCAAGAAGAUAUUAAGGAAAAUGAUCAAAAGGCAUAAGCAGUGGCAUGAGAAGUUUUCAUUCGCUUUAUUGGGUUAUCGUGCUACAGUUCGCACAUCAACCGAGGCAACUCCCUACAUGCUGGAUUACGGUAUAGAGGCGGUAAUUCAUGCCAAGGUAGAAAUUCCGUCCUUGAGAAUCAUACAAGAAGUUGGGCUAGAUGACGCAUAAUAGGUCAAGCGUUGCUACGAACAGUUAACCCUUAUAGAUGGAAAGAGAAUGAACAUUGUCUGUCACGGUCAGUUAUAUAAAAAUAAAAUGUCUAGAGCCUUCAACAAAAGAGUUCGACCAAGGAAGUUCACAUCGGGACAGCCGGUGUUAAAGAAGAUAUUCCCACAUCAAGACGAGGUCAAAGGGAAAUUCUCUCCCAAUUAGAAAGGUCCAUACAUGGUUCACUGGGUUCUAACUAGAGGAGCCCUUAUUCUUGCAGAAAUUGAUGGAGAAGUUUGGACAAGACCAAUUAACUCAGAUGCAAUGAAAAGAUAUUACAUUUAAUCAAUAUGCUUUUUCUUUAUGAUGUAAUUUGAACUACGCCUGACCUGAUUUCCUUUUAAGAGGGGAUAUAUAGGCAGUCCUAUAGGUUCGGUCACAUCUUUAAUAAAAUUUCAUUCCCCCCCCCCCCCUAUGCUUUUUAUUUAUGAUGUAAUUUGAACUAUGCCUGACCUGAUUCCCGUUUAAGAUGGGAUGCGUAGGCAGCAUUAUGGAUUCAGUCACAUCUUUAAUAAAAUUCUAUUUUCCCCCACAUUUGGAACUGGGGCAGAAUUUUAAGGAGGACCCUCAAAAUUCCGAAGUCAGCUUGUCAAUUUUCGCAUCAGCAUCGACCCAGUAAACUGGGGCAGAAUUUUGAGAAGGACCCUCAAAAUUCUAAGGUCAAUCGACUUUCAGUCAUUCAGCACUGCCAUCAACAAUGUCAGCCCAGUAAAUUGGGGCAGAAUUUUGAGGAGGUCCCUCAAAAUUCCAGGGCCAGCUAGGUUGUCGUGCUUUGAACCACGUCGCAGUUGUGGUUAAUCAUAAAACAAAAUUAUCUUUUCUUUACUUAUACGUAUACAUUUGCAUCACGAUGGCAAAAAUUUGCAUGAAAUCAUCUGGAUCACUAUCGUUCAGCAACGCUACCCCAAACGGUACAGGACGCCACGAGUUGAGGGAUGCGAACUAACCUCCUCUUUUGCAGAACUCACGAUCUUUCUUUGGAUGCAGGAACCCAGAAUACAAACAGGCGACGCAUGUGCUUUAUAAAACUAGAGUUCCCGAAACAACUACUUGCCUCGCGAAGGUUUACUAUCAAUAUUCAACACUUCCCAGCAGUCAUUGUGAGCACAUGAUUUUUUCUCUAUAUAUAGAUAAUACCCAAAAAUUCAAACAAAAAAAAAUUCUCCUUAUUUUUACAAUUUUUGUGAACUUUGUGUUAAUAGUUUGCAUUCUCUUCGUGCAUGUUAAUUCAUACAAAAAUAAAAAUAUGCAUAUGCAUUUAGGAUUUAAUUUUAUAUUUUAAUAUUAAUUAGGGGUUAAUUUGUUUUAAAAUAAAAUAUGAAGAAAAUGAUCAAAAUAGUUCAAUUUUUGCAUUUUAAUUAUUUUAGUUGUGAAUUUGUCAUGAAAUAGUUGUUAAAACAAUAUUAGGGGGUAACUAGUUUAAUUUUGAAAUAUAGUUCAUUUAUAGGAGACGCACUUCCUAGUUUUAGUCAUUGAGAUUUUACCCACAGGAGACGCACUUCUAAAUUGACAGUUCAUUCAUAGGAGACGCACUUCCUAAAUUGGAAGUUUAUUUGUCGGAGACGCACUUCCUAGUUUGAGUCAUUUAAGUUCUGACCUAGGAGACGCACUUCCUAGUCUGGUUCAUUGAAGUUUUACCCAUAGGAGACGCACUUCCUAAAUUGAGAAGUUCAUUAGUAGGAGACGCACUUCUUAGUCUGGCUUUUUCAGGUUAUAUUUUAUUGUAGGAGACGCACUUCCUAAAUUGAGAUUUAACUCCUAGGAGACGUACUUUCUAGCUUGAGUCAUUUAUGUUCGAACCUAGAAGACCCACUUCCUAGUCUGGUUCAAUGAAGUUUUACCCAUAGGAGACGUACUUCCUAAAUUGAUAAGUUCAUUAGUAGGAGACGCACUUCCUAGUCUGGCUUUUUAAGGUUAUAUUUUAUUGUAGGAGAUGCACUUCCUAAAUUGAGAUUUCACCCCUAGGAAAUGCACUUCCUAGUUUGAUUCAUUUUAAGUUCGACCCUAGGAGAUGCACUUCCUAGUCUGGUUCAUUGAAGUUUUACUUGUAGAAGACGCACUUCCUAAUCAAGGUCUUUCAAGUUAUUCUUUUGGGAGACACAAUUCCUAAAUUGAGAGUUCAUUCAUAGGAGACGCACUUCCUAGUUUUAUUCAUUGAAGUUUUCACCCCUAGGAGUCGAACUUCCUAGUUUGGUUACUUCAGGUUUAAUGUAGCAGACACAUUUGCUAGUCAGUUUUUUGGUUUUACUCGUAGGAGACGCACAUUCUAGUCUAGUCUUUAGUUUACUCUCAUCAUUGCAUCAAUAGUAUAAGUGGUUUACAAUUUUGCUAACAACUCACAAAUAUUCCUAGUGCAAACUGGGGCAGAAAAUUUCGUUUGUUUUGUUCGUUUUGGUUGCAGGAUCCCACAUGGAAAACAAGGUAACACAGAAAGUUUUAGCAGUCUGAAGCCCGCCUGAAAAACAGAGGUGAUACAAUUCAAAUUUUAGUUUUCAAUUAAGUUCUUUCUUUAUUUUGAAGUCAAGAGUCCGCAUGGAGAACAGAGACAUACAUUUUGAAUUUCAGUAGUCAGGAGUUCGCCUGAAUAAUAGAGACAUACAAUUCAAGUUUUAGCAGUCAGGAGCCCGCCUGAAGAACAGAGGUGAUACAAUUCUAAUUUUAGUUUUCAAUUGAUUUCUUUGUCUUUUUGAAAUUAGGAGCCCGCCUGAAGAAUAGAGGUAUACAAUUAAAGUUUCGGAAAUCAGGAGCCCGCCUGUAUAACAGAGGUAUUUCAGGUCAAGUUUUAGUCAUAUUAUUAUUAAUAUCCGGUAACAUGUACCCAGUUUCCAAACUGGGGCAGAAAGUUUUCUUUGGUUUGUCUAUUUUUGUGAAGUCAGGAGCCCGCCUGGAUAACAGAGGAAAACAGUCAAAUUCAAAUCCAGCUGUCAGGAGCCCGCCUAAAGAACAGAGGAAUACAUUCAAGUUCUAGUUUAUUCAACUUCAGCAAUUUAGAGGAAAGGAACAACAUCUCAGUGACGAUUUGAAGUAACAACAAUGAGCUUCACGAAAGAAAUUACAAGACAACAAGGCAACAAGAAAGAAUACAAGACAACAAGAAAGUACAAGAUCAAGUUUUAAGAAUUUAGAUUGGACUUUUUUCAUAGUUCAUAGCAUAGGCUAGAUUCUUUUAUUUUGACAUGAUAUAAUAAGGAAGGUCAGCGAGCAGUAGCAGCAGCAGUAGCAGUGAAAUCACAGCUCCUGGUAGUCCCAGCUACCAGACACUUCCGAACUACACUGACCUAAUUCCCGUUUAGCCCAGGAUAAGUAGGCAACCUCUGAAGCAGGGUGCGGUCAAAACUUUUCAAAAUGCUUCGCAGCGGAAUAUUUGAACGGGCAAAAAUUGCUCGUAUUUGCUCACUUAUCUUUGCCCGAAAAUAUUUCAUGUUUCCAAGAAAAGAGGGGAGCUGUGAGCACGUGAGUUUUGCCCUAUAUAUAGAUAAUUCCAAAAAAUUCAAACAAAAAAAGAUUUCUCCUAAUUUUUACAAUUUUGGUGAACUUUUUGUUUAUUGUUUGCAUUUUAUUCGUGCAUGUUAAUUCAUACAAAAAUACAAAUAUGCAUAUACAAUUAGGAUUUGAUUUUAUAUAUUAGUAUUAAUUAGGGUUUAAUUUGUUUUAAAAUAAAAUAUGAAGAAAAUGAUCAAAAUAAUUCACUUUUUGCAUUUUAAUUGUUUUAAUUGUGAAUUUGUCAUGAAAUAGUUGUUAAAACAAUUUUAGGGGGUACCUAGUUUAAUUUUGAAAUAUAUUAGGGCUUCAUUUUUCAUAUUUAUAAUAUCAGAAAAAUACAAAGUGAAACAAAAAAUAAAUACAAGAAUUAAAAGAAGGAAACAAAAACCAAAAAGAAAAAAGCACAAGGAGGCUGUUCAUAUAAGAUAGCCGAAUUGGGCUCUUGAUUCUGCUGGCCCAAAUUACCAAUCAAUCCGCCCCCAAUCCCGGCCCAAAUCGCCAAGACCCAACCCGCUCCCCAAAUUAAACACACGCGAACAGAGACUGCCAAAAUCCCUAAUCUAAACGCGUAAUGUUCUUCUUCUCUGAAGAACACGCGAGCCAAACCCCAAAUUAGUCCCUUCUUUGGUUCCUGGUUCUGUUUCAGAAAAUAUAUAUAAAAAAAGUUUUCAUUAUCUUCUCUGAUUUCCCUCAAAGAAUGGAGAUGGGUUGAGCUGAGAUUGAGCUGGCUGCUCGAGUUCAAGUUCGUAGUUUUUACAUCCCGAUGCACUGUAACACUGGUGUUCUUGAGCUUUCAUCAUCGAAUUCACUUUUAUUGGAUUCAAAGAAGAAUUAAUCUAAGUUCGUUCUCAACUCAGGUUCAUUUCUUCUCCAACUCUUUAUUAAUUUGUGAUUCAGUGUUUGUGCGUGUUCAUAUCUCGGCAUGGUUGGUGUGAACCCUGAAAGCUAAUGUCUGUUCUCUUACUCUAUUUCUGAGCCUUGUUUGGCUUUGGUUCAGAUUUGUUAAGAUGUUUUGGUUUGUCAUUAAAGUGCACUGCGAUGGUCGAUCCCCUGCCCUUGAUUUGCUAGUCCAUCUCUUGCAAAUUCGUUGUUAGUUGAUAGGCUCUUUCUUUACCUCGCAAGGUUUUCGAAUUAUGUAGAAAUUAGUUUUUCUGGUCCUUUGAACUAAAUAAGGUCUCUGCUAAGGCUCCAUGAGUUUGGAACUCAUUAAUCCACUGCUUGAAUUGUUUGAGUUACGUCCUGAUUUUUCUUAAUCUCAUUUUGGCCCAUCUUAGUUGAUUCAUUGUUUAAUGAAGUAAGUUGCCAACCUUUCAUGUUACGUUUUCAUUUAAACACGGAAGCUGUUGUUUUGCAAUUGAGUAGCUGAAUCCGCUCGAAGUGUCUUUACUGAUUCUCUCUGGUUCUCAAACAGAAAUGUGCCUAAGUAUUAGGAUAGUCGUGACCAUGCCCGCGCCAAGUCAGAUUUUGUGCACGCUAUUUUGAUAUUUAUGAAUUGGAUUUACAAUUGACCUUAGAUGUUUGUGUUCCUUGCUGAGUUUAUCUCUAUGUGCUGCAUUUCAUAAGCUUGAUUGGAGAAAGAAGUAGAUUAAGACAUUGUCUUAUUACAUUUCCUUUAGAAAACUGCGUUAAUUAAAUUGUGUCCAUACGAACAGCGAGUGUUAUGAAGCUUGGAGCUGAAAUAUGUAUAUUUGAGUUGCUUGACUGAAAUUCUGAUUUCUUUGGAGUUAUAAAGUACUGUAGCACAAGAGGUAUUGUACAAAUUCGUGUUGUGAUCUAUUUUGAACUUGUUAAUCAUGAUACCGGAGAGAGCAGUAUUCUUGCACUAGAUUCUGAGCGUCUGUCCAUUUGGUGAAGCUUAAGUUGAUUAAUUUCUUUGUUUGAAAGUACCUGAUGUUUCGUGCUUCAUUUCUUUGAUUGAUUGAGCGAUGCGAUUCAUUUUGAUGAGUUCAAAAGAAUUAGCUCACUGCUUUUAGUCAUAUGAACUCGCUCUAUCGGCCUAACCAAAUGUAAACAUGAAGGAGUGAACAUUAACCAAUUGAUCCUUUGUGCCGGAGUUGUUAAUUCUAUUAGAUCUGAAAGUUUAAGCUUCUGAUUGUGUUCCUGUUGUUUGUGAACUUCAAAACGUCCCGAGCAUUUGAAUUGUAAAAUCAGUUGGAGUUGUGGUUUAAACUCGCGCGAGGUUCCACCUGGGCCUAGUUUGUUGCGUGGUUUUCUGGCUGUAAAUCUCAUUAUCUCAAAUGUCCGUCUCUUUUUCUGAUUAGCAUCGGUGCUUUUGUUGUAAUGCUUCACAGUAUACGUUGUUUGCAUGUCUGUUAUAUUUAUUGAAUGCGUCUGUGUUAAUGUUUCAAGAGGAUUUUGCUCGUUUCAGUGUCCUUUUCAUUUGAAGCUUCAUUUGAAUCAUAACAUGGUGGCAUAAUAUCCCGUUCUUAUCAUUUGGAUUAAGGCGUACUUGUUAAGGUCUUGUGAUAUAUAUUAAUUAGAAAGGAAAACUGUUUCUUUUAGUUCUUCUAUGGUAAAGUUAAAAAGUGUUUGAAUAUUGAAUGAAGUUUGCAUCAUUUUAUCUCUUUCAAUUAAUGCCAAAUUAUUAAAUUAGAAUGAAAAUUAUCAUGGGUACGGGUAUGGUUCUCGUGACGUAGCCGUGAUACUUAAUCCCUAAUUAGUGAAAUAUGAAUAUUCGUAGCUCAUUUAGUUGAAUGCUUUUCCUUUAGAGUUCGAUGUGUGCCAUUUAGCAAAUUCUAUGGCCCUCGCAAAGUACAAAUGCGUUCGAUUUAAUUAAAUUACUUUCUUAAACUAGGGUGCAUUGAUGCGACCACAAUCCAAAUCUCGAUGAAGUCGAAAUGUGUCGAUGACUACGGGUGCCUUGAUGGCGACGUGGUCGAACACGUGUUUUCACGACGUCGCAAGUCCUUUAAAAUAAAUAAUGGUAAAAGCAGUUUUGUAAAUAAAAGGCACAUAAGCUAGUAUGUAUUAAAAUCGGAUAAAAUCAAAUACAAUAGUUGAGCGACCGUCCUAGAACCACGGAACCCGGGAAUGCCUAACACCUUCUCCCGGGUUAACAGAAUUCCUUAUCCGGACUUCUGGUUCGCAGACUGUAACACAGUCAUAUCUUUCCUCGGUUCGGGAUUCAACCGGUGACUUGGGACACCAUUAAUCUCCCAAGUGGCGACUCUGAAUAAUUAAUAAAUUAAAUGUUGUUCAGAUUGUCCUUUAAGUGGAAAAACUCCUUUACGCCCCUUUGCGGAGGUGUAUAGCGAAAAAGGAGGUGUGACAAUCAUGAUAUCACAAUCAUUUACUAGCUAAGAAAAUCACCAUCAUCCUCUCCUUUAUAUUCCUACAUUUUGCAUAAGGCUAUUCUCUGCCUUUCGAGGUUAAGCUCUACCUCCAUUCUGCAUAAGGCUAUCUUUUGCAUUUCGGGACUAAGCUAUGUCUCCAUCUUGCAUCUUGCAUAAGGCUAUUAUCUGCCUUCCGAGGUUAAGAUCUACCUCCAUCCUGCAUAAGGAUAUCUUCUACCCUUCGAGACUAAGCUCUGUCUCCAUCUCGCAUUUUGCAUAAGGCUAUUCUCUCCCUUCUGAGGUUAAGCUCUACCUCUAUUUUGCAUAAGGCUAUCUUCUGCCUUUCAAGACUAAGCUAUGUCUCCAUCUCGCAUUUUGCAUAAGGAUGUUAUCUAGCUUCCGAGGUUAAGCUCUACCUCCAUCCUGCAUAAGCCUAUUUUCUGCCUUCCGAGGUUAAGCUCUACCUCCAUCCUGCAUAAGGCUAACUUCUGCCUUCCGAGACUAAGCUCUGUCUCCAUCCUGCAUUGCAUAAGGCUAUUCUCUGUCUUCAAGGUUAAGCCCUACCUCCUUUAUUUUGCAUUUGGCUGAAAUAUCGCCACCCUAUUUCAUUCGACUGAAAUAUCGCCGCCUUGCAUUUUAAAUUCCUGCUCCACUGAAAUAUCGCCACCCCUUGGAUUCAUUCGGCUGAAAUAUUGCCACCUUCGCAUGGGCUGAAAUAUCGCCACCUUAUUCAAAGGCGUCAUAGUUUGGAGGCACCAUUCGCAUAGCCCGAGAACACCAUUUCAUGGCCUGCGAAUCUUUACUUUAUGCUCUUCAUAGCCCAGUACGUCAUAGUCUGAUGACGCCAUCCUAAUCGUCCAAAGACAGCAUUCAUUGUCCAAUGGGAACUUGUAUCAUAUUUAAAUUAUGCAAUAUAUACGCACAUCGUUCAUUUGCAGGUACACCGGCUGGCACGACCACCUCAGCAGGAGCGGUCCCGCUCCAGUUCUCCGUAGCCCGUCCGAUAUUUGAACCCUUGACAAGUCUCAAACCCCGUUGCGUUUGCCUCUUCAAAAUUUUCAUUGGCAUAUCCCGCCAAUGGUUCCUGAACUACAUACAGCCCGAUUCCUGUAGAACCGAGGAUAUGUAGGCAGCUCAGAAGCCAGAGCACUGUCAAAAUUCUCUUACAAAUGUCAUUUCCGGUCAAAAUUGGCCAUCCUGUCUUUACCUGACAACUCUUUCAUCCUCCUCGGGUAAAGAGGGGCAGUUGUUGAUACCCAAUUUUUCCCAUGUAAUUCUAUGCUCAAAAUAUUUCCAAAAUAGCAUAUAGAUGCAUACAUAAGCAUCCACAAAAAGUUUGGUAUUUUUCUACAUUUUUUCAAGUACUUUUAAUGCCAAUUUACGAUUUAUUUUGUUCUAUAUAAUCCAAUAUUUAGUCUCAAAUCUUGCUAUUUUCAUAAGUAAUCUAUUUUAUUCUCAUAUUACAUAAAAAUAUAAUUUUUACAGAAUUUUACAAAGCCAUUAGGUAUUUUUAAAUUAAAACUGCAGUAAAUUGCAAUUUUAGCCUAUUUCUCAAUUUAAUAAGUAUUUCAAGUACAAAAUUCGUUCCUAAUUUUUUUAAUUAACUCCUAGACAUAUUUUAUUAACUCAGUACUUUCACUGGAUUUUUAUAGGAUUGUUUACUAUUUUUAUAAAAUUAAAAUUGGGAAAGAUGGCUAUUUAAAUUGUAGCCCUUAAUCUUUCAAUUUUAGCCCAAAUUGGAACCCAAAUCAAUCCCAUUUAAAACCCCAAUUGCCUGAUCCAAAUUCCAAAAUCACCCGACCCAAACCCACCUAAAUCUAACCCGCCUGCUCCCUUUUCUAAUCUUGGCCGUUGAUCUCACAGAUCAACGGCCCACAAUCCACUUACCAAAAAUUAAAUCCCAAAUAACCCCCAAGCCCUAAUCAGUCUUCCAAACCCGCCGCCUUUGAAUCCCUAAAGCUCUCAAAGCCCUCUCAAACCCUAAAUCAUCUCCGGCUAUCUAACCGGCGUCCAUGGUCGUCCAAGACUUGAAACUUCUUUAUUCGUUCACUCCUCACCUCUCCGGGCCAUGGGUUCGAAGAUCGGAAGCCCACUUCGAAGCUAAUCAGACCAGAGGUCCUCUAAUGAGGUUUCGCAGCCGUAUCUGGCCUUUUCUCCGGCAAGCCUUAAAGCCCUGGGCCCUUUGCUGACUCUGACGAGUCCAUUCCAGGCUUUUCUCACUACUUCGAAACUUUUCUAUGCAAACUCCAAUGUUCGAGGUUCAUCUCUGUGUUCAUCUUUAAGAUUCUCUCUAAAAUCCUAGUGAUUUUCUAAAGAUUUACAAAAUAUUUCUCAUCUCUUCUUCGCCUAUUCAUUUUUUCAAACUGAUCGUCUUUUAAAACCUAGGGUUUCUAUGACUUUCCAUGAUUUCUCUGAUUUUAUUACUUUAUUUGCUGUUGUGUGUUCUACUCUAUGUCUUUGCUAUGAUUUUAAAGCAUUUUUCUACCAAUUACUUUAUUUGCUGAUGUGUGUUCUUCUCUAUGUCGUUGAUAUGAUUUUUAAGCAUUUUUCUACCAUGACUCUAUGGUGUUUUGCUUUACUGUUUACUUUCUAGGGUUUUCAGUUCAUGUAUUCUACGCUUCCUUUAUGUUGUUCUGCUUUUAUUCAUCUUCAUCUGUUAUAUUCCUUAUGCUCUGAUUUGCAAUGGAAACCCUAGUUUUCAGAGGGUUUUUCCAUUGUCUCUCUGUGAAACCUUAGCCGCCUCUAGUUGCUUCCUCGUAUUUUUUGCUACAUGUUAUUCUAAUUGCUUCUAGUUUAUGCAUGUUCAAACCUGUGCAUAUUUUAUAGUACCACUUUCCCCCUUCUCUGAAACCCUAAUUGAUUUCGUACAAUUUGUUUGAUUCUCUAAUUAAGGCUUGUUCUCUGACUAAGUUCAAUACAUCGGUAUCAUGAUUCCUUGAUUUCCUGGGUGAUUACUUGCCUUAUGUCUUUUACCCGUGUGAUUUUCAAAUUCUUCUUAUGAAUUUGCCCUAUAUUCUUUGACUAGUACUCGAUUUCCUUUCCAAAAUUAGACCUGAGCUUAGUUAUUUCUACUCGGUUCCUACCCUAUAUUCGGUGACUAGUACUCGAUUUCCUUUGCAAAGUUAGACCUAUGCUUAGAUACUUCUAGCAGGUUCAUUAAUUAAAGGGAGCCUUCUCCCUGAUUGUUUAGGAUUGGUACUGCUGAAUAUUUUCUUGCCUUAAAGGUUGCAUUCUUUCAAACUAUAAAUAGGCCAAAUCUAUUUGUGUAUUUUAAUUUAAGUUAGCAUGUUUAAUCCCCUUCCCCUUUUCCUUUGUCUGUUCAGUUUAAGCUUUAACAUGUUGAAUCCCUUUCCCCAUUUCCCUUGUCUGUGUGUUUGUCUGUUCAGUUUAAGCUUUAACAUGUUUAAUCCCUUUCCCCAUUUCCUUGUCUGUGUGUAGUUCAGUUGCAACAUAUUUAGUUCUCCAUUUUUCCUUGUCUGUUUUUGUUUUAGUUUUUAGUUCAGCAUGCUCAGUCCUUUCUCUUGGCUGUUUAUUGUUCAUUAUAUAGUUUAAGUUCUUAUACACCACCUUUCCCCUGAAUCCCUUUUAAUUUAGUCUUAUAUACUUAUGUGACUCUUUUUUCCCUGAUCCUUGUUUGAAUGAGAGUGUGUUCUAUAUUAGGGUGGCAUCAUUGUCACUCCUAGUUUAGAACUAAGGUUGUCAACAACCUAUACUCAAACUAAUCACAUCCCCUACCCCCUUAUUAUGUGUUUGAGCCUUGACAAAGGUUUGUUGGUGUCCUAAUCACCAUUCAGGCCCUAGUAUGACUUGUUUACAAGUCUGCUCCUGUUUGUUAACCUUUAUAAGUGGUUAGGGGUGUGCCAGCCUCACUCCAUAGGCUAGGUAUGACCGCCUCCUACAAUGGUCUUCCUCUAAUCUAUCACCUUUACACUUAUUCUUAGUGCUUUAAGUCCUACUUCCCCCUUAGUAAGCCAUGCUUAGGGGACCCCAGAGUCUCCUCUAAACUUGAAUGCUUUUGGGCUAGUAAUUCCACGCUUGCACUACUCUAAAGAGAAAGCCUCGGAUUUGGGAGCCUGGAUUUGGUAAAGGGCGUACGUUGGACAUUAAAGUUGCUUUGCGCUUCUUCGGGCCUGUUGUAGUAUUGAUGUAUUAUUUAUUUCCUUUAAUGUUAUUUUUUUGGUCCAGAUUCUUGUAAAUAACUUGUAAUUAAAGAACUUGGGGAUCUAGUGAAAGAGAAUAUGAGAGGGUUUACCUUUAUUGCGUUAUCUCAUAUAGUUACCAUGGCUAUAGGGCUUUACUUUUUUGCAUCAUCUCAUGUAGAUAUCAUGCUUAUAGGGUUUUACUUCUUGCAUCAAUAUCAUAUAGUUACC
rnacentral:lncRNA from 1 species